rnacentral:rRNA from 1 species
GUGAACGCUGGCGGUAGGCCUAACACAUGCAAGUCGAACGGCAGCACAGUAAGAGCUUGCUCUUACGGGUGGCGAGUGGCGGACGGGUGAGGAAUACAUCGGAAUCUACUUUUUCGUGGGGGAUAACGUAGGGAAACUUACGCUAAUACCGCAUACGACCUACGGGUGAAAGCAGGGGAUCUUCGGACCUUGCGCGAUUGAAUGAGCCGAUGUCGGAUUAGCUAGUUGGCGGGGUAAAGGCCCACCAAGGCGACGAUCCGUAGCUGGUCUGAGAGGAUGAUCAGCCACACUGGAACUGAGACACGGUCCAGACUCCUACGGGAGGCAGCAGUGGGGAAUAUUGGACAAAGGGCGCAAGCCUGAUCCAGCCACACCGCGUGGGUGAAGAAGGCCUUCGGGUUGUAAAGCCCUUUUGUUGGGAAAGAAAAGCAGCAGGUUAAUACCCCGCUGUUCUGACGGUACCCAAAGAAUAAGCACCGGCUAACUUCGUG